GCGCCCUUACCGAUAGAGCUUACAAACGUUUGGAUUGCUAAUCCGAAGGUCGCGAGUUCGAAUCUCGCCGGGAGCU
rnacentral:tRNA from 1 species